GUGCUCACUUCAGCAGCACAUAUACUGAAAUUGGAACAGUACAGAGAAGAUUAGCAUGAUCCCCGCGCAAGGAUGAUAUGCAAAUUCAAGAAGCAUUAAAAAAAAUU
rnacentral:snRNA from 1 species